rnacentral:rRNA from 1 species
GUGUCAGCAGCCGCGGUAAUACGUAGGACCCGAGCGUUGUCCGGAAUUACUGGGUGUAAAGGGCGUGUAGGUGGACCUCUCAGUCGGUGGUGAAAUCCUGCGGCUUAACCGCAGAACUGCCGCCGAUACUGGAGGUCUUGAGUACGGCAGAGGGAGAUGGAAUUCAUGGUGUAGCGGUGAAAUGUGUAGAUAUCAUGAAGAACACCGGUUGCGAAGGCGGUCUCCUGGUCCGUUACUGACACUGAGGCGCGAAAGCGUGGGGAGCAAACAGGAUUAGAAACCCCCGUAGUCC